rnacentral:rRNA from 1 species
GAUGAACGCUGGCGGCGUGCCUAAUACAUGCAAGUCGAGCGAACAGACGAGGAGCUUGCUCCUCUGACGUUAGCGGCGGACGGGUGAGUAACACGUGGAUAACCUACCUAUAAGACUGGGAUAACUUCGGGAAACCGGAGCUAAUACCGGAUAAUAUAUUGAAUCGCAUGGUUCAAUAGUGAAAGACGGUUUUGCUGUCACUUAUAGAUGGAUCCGCGCCGCAUUAGCUAGUUGGUAAGGUAACAGCUUACCAAGGCAACGAUGCGUAGCCGACCUGAGAGGGUGAUCGGCCACACUGGAACUGAGACACGGUCCAGACUCCUACGGGAGGCAGCAGUAGGGAAUCUUCCGCAAUGGGCGAAAGCCUGACGGAGCAACGCCGCGUGAGUGAUGAAGGUCUUCGGAUCGUAAAACUCUGUUAUUAGGGAAGAACAAAUGUGUAAGUAACUAUGCACGUCUUGACGGUACCUAAUCAGAAAGCCACGGCUAGCUACGUG